rnacentral:lncRNA from 1 species
GUUGGAAUUUUGAUAGGGAUUGCAUUGAAUCUGUAGAUUGCUUUUGGCAAGAUAGCCAUUUUUACUAUAUUGAUCCUGCUAUUUUCUAAGAAAAAAAAAAAAGUCUGUACCAUUUUCUUAAACUCAGAACCUUCCCUAAGAAAAGAAAACAGAAUUGUAAAUUUUGGAAACUUUUAAUCAUUAAGCAUCGGUGGGGUUUAAAAAUCUCAACUCAAAUAAACAUUUUCAGCACAUGUAUGAAGAGUAUGUUUUACAUCCUUACAUAAUCUUUGGCUCUAAAGUAGUCUUAGGAGAUUGGACUGCCUUCCACUCUAUCCAUCAUGUGUAUAUGGAUUUCUGUCAUCACCGUCGAUCAUUGCACGCCUGUACAAAUGUAUACAAGUUCAGUAAUAUGAAAUUAUCAGUGAUGAGUUUUUUGAACUAUAAAAUAAAAGUUCCAGGCUUUCUAACCUAGUAUUUUUCAUUUGGGUAUGCAUUAAUAAUUCUCAUCUGGACAUUUGCGCCUCGGCCAUAAGUACACAUUCAGCUUCUUUGGGUUGCCUUGAGUAAAUUCACCUCCAGAAUACAGCCGUGCUCUAGAGAGCUACCUAGACAAAGCCAGUAUUGGCUUCGCUCAAAUACGAUCUGUUUCCAGUGGCUCACAUGACAGUUCUGAUUCUGACUCAUUUUUUUAUUCAACUCCAAAAUAACCAUAAAAUUUCCCCUUUGAUCUUAAUAUACAUGGGUUAUUAAUUUACUAGAUUUACUCUGUUUUCCUAAGAUGAUAAUCUCCCACCUUAAAGUUAGGGGUUAAAUUUUUGCCCAAAUAAUACCUUUAUGUUAUUCAUAUGAUUUUAAAACAUUUGUCAAUUUUAUUCUAAACCAGAACAUGAAGUAAUUUUGGUUCAUCAUUAACUCAACGUAAAUGAAAAUGUUAAUAUCUUCCUACUUACACAAUGUUAUUAAAAGCAAACUACUUAGCAUAAAAGUCUUUACAUAAACUUCAUUUUCGUCUCUGUAGACUGCUUAACCAUUUGUGAGUAAUUUGUUUUCAUCUUGUUUCCCAAACAACCAGCUUGGGCCAAGCAUCAGGUCUCAGUCUAACUUCUUUCCAAUCGCUACUGUCUCCAAAAUCACAUUCUUAUGUUUAUCACUUCUCAAUUCUAAUUCUCAAUACUCUAUAGUAAAAUGUUCCUGAAUUAUGUUAUUCAAUACACUAUUUAAUUUCUGGUUUUCUUCACCUCUUGAAUCAAAGUAUUAUGUAAACUUAAAAUUAUAAUGAACUGUUUUAAAGAAUUGAUAUAUUAUGAACAGGAGGUUUUUUUUUUUCCCUAUGAGGACAUUGAUUUUUUAAGUCUGUACAGAGUGCUAGAAAGAAUAAUAGACACAAAUCAGAUAAUCUUUUUAAGGGUGUGGAAAACAAGAAUCUUAAAAUGUUUUGAGGUUGUUCUUAGGCUUAAAAUUUUUAGUUAAAAUAAAAAUCAAAAACUCAUUUAAAGGAAUGUAUAUGGCCUAGUUUGCUUCCCUGUUGAUGUGAUAAAACACAAACCAAAAGAAUGUGGGAGGGGAAAGAGUUUAGUUUUCAGUCCACUUUUGUUUGAUUUGUUAAACUAUUAAAAAGUCAUCAGGGAAAACAUUUAAAAAUGAAAUGCACAAAAAAUAAAAUUGAACAAAAAAUAAAAUUGACAUUUAAAUUUCCGUGGAAUCCAUUUUCAUUUCUACAUUGGCAUGUGCCUAAAAUCACUCUGAGGGUGAGUCAUGUGGUACUCCUGAACUGUACGGGGGACAUCAUUCACAGCACAAGCUUCGCCAGGACAUGGGAUGCGCACUGACAUGAGCCCUUGUUAAUAGGAGGAGGCAGACCAACCAGGAAAGGAUUUAUUUAAGCUUAAGGUUUAUAGAGGGAAGAUGAAAUAGGCUCUCAAGACAGGAAACUGGAGGCAUGAAGCAAAGAUCUCUGAGGAUCAGUGUUUACUGGCUUGUGCCCUGGUUUGUUCACCUCCCUGUCUUAUAAAACCAAGAUCCAUCUGCCCAGAGAUGGUACCACUCACAGUGCACUGGGCUCUCCCAUGUUAGUC